rnacentral:rRNA from 1 species
CAAUAGCGUAUAUUAAAGUUGUUGCAGUUAAAAAGCUCGUAGUUGGAUUUCGGGGCAGCCUGGCUGGUCCGCCGCAAGGCGAGUACUGGUCAGCCGCCCUUCCUCUCGAAAGCCCCGACUGCUCUUCGUUGCAGUGGUCGGGUAGUUCGGGACGUUUACUUUGAAAAAAUUAGAGUGUUCAAGGCAGGCCUACGCCUGAAUACAUUAGCAUGGAAUAAUGGAAGAGGACCUCGGUCCUAUUUUGUUGGUUUCCAGGGCCGAAGUAAUGAUUAAGAGGGACAGUUGGGGGCAUUCGUAUUUAAUUGUCAGAGGUGAAAUUCUCGGAUUUAUGGAAGACGAACAACUGCGAAAGCAUUUGCCAAGGAUGUUUUCAUUAA